rnacentral:rRNA from 1 species
UCUCCUACGGGAGGCAGCAGUGGGGAAUAUUGCACAAUGGGGGAAACCCUGAUGCAGCGACGCCGCGUGAGUGAAGAAGUAUUUCGGUAUGUAAAGCUCUGUCAGCAGGGAAGAAAAUGACAGUACCUGACCAAGAAGCCCCGGCUAACUACGUGCCAGCAGCCGCGGUAAUACGUAGGGGGCGAGCGUUAUCCGGAUUCACUGGGUGUAAAGGGAGCGUAGACGGCCAUGCAAGCCAGGGGUGAAAGCCCGGGGCCCAACCCCGGGACUGCCCUUGGAACUGUGCGGCUAGAGUGCGGGAGGGG